GCAUCCCGUAGCUCGGCGGAUAGGGGAGUACUCGGCUACGAACCGAGCGGUCAGGUUCGAAUCACUCCCGGAUGCACCA
rnacentral:tRNA from 1 species